CUCUCCGUAGCUCAGUUGGUAGAGCAGUUGACUCUUAAUCAACGGGUCGAGCGUUCGAGUCGCUCCGGGGAGACCC
rnacentral:tRNA from 1 species